CGCAACCCUUGUCUUUAGUUACCAGCACGUUAUGGUGGGCACUCUAAGGAGACUGCCGGUGCAAACCGGAGGAAGGUGGGGAUGACGUCAAGUCAUCAUGGCCCUUACGGCCUGGGCUACACACGUGCUACAAUGGUCGGUACAAAGGGUUGCCAAGCCGCGAGGUGGAGCUAAUCCCAUAAAACCGAUCGUAGUCCGGAUCGCAGUCUGCAACUCGACUGCGUGAAGUCGGAAUCGCUAGUAAUCGUGAAUCAGAAUGUCACGGUGAAUACGUUCCCGGGCCUU
rnacentral:rRNA from 1 species